rnacentral:RNase_P_RNA from 1 species
UCUGUCGGCUGGGCGGCCGCGCGCGGAAACGCUCGAGGAACGUCCGGGCUCCACAGGGCAGGGUGAUGGCUAACAGCCACCCGGGGUAACCCGAGGGAUAGUGCCACAGAAAACAAACCACCUCCACGAUUCGUGGCGGUAAGGGUGAAAAGGUGAGGUAAGAGCUCACCAGCGGCGCGGGUGACCGCGUCGGCUCGGUAAACCCCACCCGGAGCAAGACCGAGCAGCAGGCAGGGCGGCCCGCCCAAUGCCUGCGGGUAGGUUGCUGGAGGCCGUUGGUAACGACGGUCCUAGAUAGAUGGUCGCCACCGCGAGACCGGUAACGGUGCGCGGGGACAGAACCCGGCGUAUAGGCCGACAGAUCCA